CUUUAUAGCUUCCUGAAUAAUGGGCCUGUGCAGUACGCGCGUUGAAAAAUAUUGUUUUUAGUCAUGAAGGCUUGAUUUUGUACACACAGUUUUACAAAAUUGUAGUUUAAUGAAGGGAGAGUGUUUACAAAUAUCAGAGCCUUUGUUGAGAAUAUAGUAACAGGAAACUUGACUGUGUGCUUUUUCAGGUUUUGGAGAAGUGUAUCUCGUCCAGAAGAGCUGCGGGGUGGACGAUGGUACACUCUAUGCCAUGAAGGCGAUGGAUAUUAAAGAAAUUAUGUCUUUGAAAGAUGGCUGCGAACAGUAUCGCACUGAACGUGGUUUACUUGUGAAGGGUCUGGAGGCUCCAUUCCUGGUGGGUCUGUAUUAUGCCUUCCAGACAAAAACGAAGUUCUGCCUCGUGCAAGCUAAGAGUCAUACACCGAGACCUGAAACUGCGAAAUAUAUUAGUAGACGCUCAAGGCCACAUUGCUGUAGCAGAUUACGGCCUAUGCAAAGAUUUUGCCUGGUAUAAAAAGGGUGAUCGUGCAUAUUCAGUGUGUGGCACAAAACAGUACAUGGCACCAGAGAUGAUCAUCGGCAAAGGCUACAGCUAUAAUGAUGUGAGGUAUGAUGCAUCUGUCUGUUUUAUUAGAAAAAUUUCUGAACAGUGUGGAAAAAUGCUGCACACACAACACAGUAAACAGCCUUCACUCCUAAUAAGAUAGAUGCAUCAUUGUACAAUGACUUACCACAACUCAGAUCAAAAACACAAUGGACUUGAAGAUUGCUGUCUUCUGGGCUUUAGAGGAGUAUAGUCUGGUAGAAGAUUACCAAUGUUUCAGAGGUCCUUGCUCCCUGCAUGAUCAGGAUUCAUCAUCACUGUACUAAUGGGGUUGCUUGUGCAGAUGCGCCACACACAGUGGGGAACAUAAAGCUGGUGGUGUCCGCAGUUGGAGGGGCUGUUCCAGCAGCCAUCACAGAGACCGUUGAAUGUGAAAUGGUCUUACAUAGUAUCAGACAUCGCAGCACACAAGCUGACUCUGCUGUACCAU